ACUUUCUGGGACAUGCAAAAACUGUUAAAAUUAACAUUUAAUUUUUUACUGUGCACGUAGUUAUCACAGAAAGCUCAUUGAGAACGGUUCGCCAUAUGGCACCGUCGUUCUUAGUUACGACUCUGGUAACAAUGAACGCCGAACGCUCCGGAAGGCCUCGCGGGAAGUCCCCCGAGGAGCGGUGAUAGCCGGGGCCGAUUGCUCGGUGAAGAACCAGCCGAUACACGCACGCGUGCCCACCACUGCGUGGUGGACGGACCACGCGGUCGUUAUUAUACGGUCACCGCGGAGGCAUCGACGUCGUGUCACACUGUUCGCCGUAAAGUAUACAACUCCAUGUCGUGUGCUGCAGGAAGGAGUAACAUUUCUCUCAAGAUGUGUACACUCGUUUCUAAAGAUACAUCCUACGUAUCUCAGUGACGAAAGAUAAGACGGCAGCAGCAAGAAGCUGUAUCAAGAAGAAGAGUGAAGAGGAGAAAACGAAGCCAACAGUUCUCAGACAGAAUCUUCCAAUCUCUUCUCGGGGAGGAAAUUAAGGUACGGGUACCAAUGACGAUCUCCUACGCUUGCGGCGACCAGCUGAAGCCGAAGAGGAAGGAUCGGAAGGGCAAGAGCGAUUCCAUGAGACGGUGCGAGCAUCUGCCUCCCGAUGGAAGUGGUGAAGGUGACGACGGUGUCAGGCGAUUUCACGGUGACGGACUCGUCGUCAGGAUGCAUUCGAAUCAUCGCGUGCUGAAGAUUACGGGCGACGGUUGCCGAAUUGCUCUGUCAAAGAAUUCCGGUAGCGUUCAUAUCAUCGGCGAUGGCUGCAGAGUGCGCGUGAACCGCAACGAGGGUAACAUCGAGUACACCGGCGACGGUGGUCGAGUCCUUCUUGGAUCGGAGUCAGUUAAAGGGAAGGUGAAAUUCGUGGGCGAUGGUGGAAAAGUGAUUCUCGACUCGAGUCGAGUCGAAACGGAAUCGAAGACUGAGAGAAAGGACUCUGGGAAUUCCUCGGGGGAACGGUCGAACGAGGAAGCCAGUUACGUGGAAAAAGAUGCGUGCUCUUGCAAGAAAGUGAUCAACGCGACGCUGGGAUGUGAGAAGCGUGCUGUUGGUAAUGGAACGUUGAAUCAGGAAGAGCUGGACAACGUGACGAAUGAUGUGAAGGAGAGGAACCAAGGGAAGUACAGGAAGCGCAACGAGGAAACACGGAAAUCCUUGCGGCAUCGGACCGUUGCGAAAAUCAUCACGAAGAUUCAAAGCGACGGUCAAUGUGUGAGGAAACGAUUCUUUGGUGAUUCUUCGUUCAUCGUUAAUUCUCGCAGCGAUGAAAAGUGUAUCUCCUUCCGCGAUGAAAAGUGUGUUGAGAACUUUGCGCAGAAACGUCAAGAUUAACGAUAGGAAAUCUAGGUGACGUUACUGGUGAAUUGAAAAAACAAGAAGAAUAGCAAAAAGUAUAUCUGUUCCUUGAAGAACAAACGAUCGAACGCAAUCAAAAUUAAUUGCACAGAAAUGGUUGAAAAGUUCUUCUCCCUUAAAUAUACAAAUUGCCUAUUUUUUCUUAUUUUUUCUAAUUAGGAAUUUAAGAAACUUCUUAUGUAGCGUGAUUAAAAUUGGUCGCACGUAAAUGACAGUUUUAAUGUAUAAAUUAACGAUUACUAGUUAUUAUAAUUUUAUCAUUAUUUUACGAAAAUAUGUACUAUGUUUCCUAUCUUGGUGUGAUAUUUUUUAUCUUAUCUUUUUUAUUUUAUAGAUAUUUCUGAGGAUAUCAUGUGUUACAAACAUUUCAUGCAACAUUAUCAUUUAAAAAUCUGUUUCCUUGUACAAUAAAUUAUUUCAAAAACUUA
rnacentral:sRNA from 1 species